UACGGAGGGUGCAAGCGUUGCUCGGAAUUAUUGGGCGUAAAGGGUAGGUAGGUGGUCUCAUUUGUCUGGGGUGAAAGCCUUGAGCUUAACUCAAGAAGUGCCUCGGAAACGGUGAGACUCGAGUCCUGGAGAGGGUCGUGGAAUUCCCGGUGUAGCGGUGAAAUGCGUAGAGAUCGGGAGGAACACCAGAGGCGAAGGCGGCGACCUGGACAGGUACUGACACUCAACUACGAAAGCGUGGGGAGCAAACAGGG
rnacentral:rRNA from 1 species